rnacentral:rRNA from 1 species
UACAGAGGGGGCAAGCGUUAUUCGGAAUUAUUGGGCGUAAAGGGCGCGUAGGCGGCUUGGCAAGUGGAAGGUGAAAUCCCUCGGCUUAACCGAGGAACUGCCGUCCAAACUGCUUCGCUUGAGACCGGGAGAGGUGAGUGGAAUUCCCAGUGUAGCGGUGAAAUGCGCAGAUAUCGGGAGGAACACCGGUGGCGAAGGCGGCCCCCUGGUUGGAUACUGACGCUGAGACGCGAAAGCGUGGGGAGCAAACAGG